AUUGAUUAGAUCGUCGGAUUGGAAACUUCAAAUGCAAGAACUUCUCAUCAAGAAAAGGCCGCUGAGAAAGUUACAAGAAGGUACGGAUGAUGAACUGAGCUCUGUCGUUCUAUGUUCCGGAUCAAAUGAUCUUUUUUCUUUGCAUUGGUGAAAGAAAAUGUGAGACGGAACUACGAAUGGAAUACGGUGUAACUGUUGAUAAUGAGAAAGGAACAAAAGAGCAUCGAUCGAGAGGGGUGGUGAUGAUGGGCGGGCAGGAGAGAAAGGUGGGCAUCGCAAUGACAGCCAUCAUUGCGAAUCUUUUGGGCCUCCCGAGCCCAUCAUCAUGCCAGAUGCCCGCGUUAAAUCCCCAUAUCACCCCUUCGCGUACACAUCAUCGCGUGACGCCAUCACCCUCAUCCUUGGCUCAUUGCAAGCUUAACUCUACCCUUUCUCUGUGCCUCUCUUUGCUUGCCCAAACGCAAGCAUGAUUCUUGUGGCAUCUCACCAUUAUGAGAGAAAACGGGAGAGUCUCUUUUGGGAAGAGUAAAUACAAGAGAGCGAGCGAGAGAGAUAGAGGAGGCAUUUUCACCACUAUAAGUAUCCGAGGAAGCCUAUCCCGCCCACAACACGCAUAGCCGUCUCUUCUUCUCUAUCCCACUCUAUUCUUUCUCAUUCAAGUCUUCCCAUCUCUUACCCUGUCUCAGCCAUCAAAAAGGUGAGCGAUAUAUAAUGAGAACCUCAUACGAUUCUCAUCUUGUCGGCUUCCUUUCUUGGGCAAAGAGGGGCACUUUUCAGUUUUCAAGAAGUGAGGGGCGCUGCGGUUCCUGCCGGCAAGACAUGGAGAGGUUGAAUGCAAAGCUCUGCUUGCAGAACUAUUACAUAAUGAAAGAGAACGAGAGGCUGAGAAGGAAGGCACAGCUUCUCAGCCAGGAGAACCAGGCCCUGUUACAUGAGCUAAGAGAGAAGCUUUCCAACUCCAAUCCUAACUUUACCACCGUCAUCAACAGCGCCCCCACAACCAGCGAGGAAUCUAAUGGGAGCAAGCCUUGAUCUAGCAAAAACAUCUACCGAUAACUAUUUUUUUUUGGGUACUAUCCUGUGGUAGCUCAAUUAUAUAUGUUUCUUAUUUUAAAUGAUGCAAUGGAGACAGAUAUCCUUAAGCAUAA